UAUAUUUUGGUGUAUAGCACGUAGAGUUUUGAAUUCUAAAGUUUUAGUUAAUUACUAUAAAAUAUAA
rnacentral:tRNA from 1 species